AUCCAGCACCACCCGGCGUCUCGUUGCCCAUCUGAUGAGCUUGCCAUGUCCGCUUCCCUUUGCGCGUGGGCCGCAGGCUGAACGUGAUCAGCUCCUCCUGCCCCUGCAGCUCCCUGUGCCCAUCCGCUUUCUGUUACUGGAGCAAACACCCAGGAUAAAAAUGUCUAUUCCGCUCAGGGCUGUGAAGGUUUUCUCCCACAGCCAGGUGCUCUUCUGCUUAGGUUCUGUUCUGGGGCUGGGACUGAGCGGUGGCGGAAGCUGCUCAUCUCAAUGGCCCAGAAGCAUCAGGUGGAGAGGAGGAGCCAAUGACCUCUUCAAGGGCGCGCACCCCCGGGGCCUCACACCUCCCUGUCCCCGCUACUUCAAAGCUCCACCGCAGGCUGGAGAGCAAGCCGUUAGCAGGGGGUCCUGGGGAGCAGGUAGUUAAACGUGUAAGACACUCAUCACUUUGACUUUGCGUUACUCCAAAGGGCACCUAACUGGCGGGGCCUGCCCUAGAGGGUGCUUUAGAGACUGUGAGGUUUCAGAGAGGCCUUCUGCGAGGAGCCCAGAGGAGUCAACAGACUGCGAUGGACGAUUCGCUCCGGAGAGGAGAGCCAAGGACUGGCCAUCAGCUGGAGAGAACGAGGGGACCGGAGUGCCCAGGCACUGUGGCCGAUGAAGGUCAUAAGAGUUAAUGACGAAAAUGGUGGAAUGACCCUGAAAGCCCCACGACCAGUGAGCCAGUAUCCAGCCCUGCAUCUGACCGAGUCAAGCUUCAUGCAUUCUUUUCUGACAUCAUCCGUUGGGAUAAUCAUGAGUGCUUAUGCUCCACAGCUACCGACUUAAUAAUUGUCCAGGAAACACAUAUGCCUUUUCUUUUUUACAAUUCUAAAAAAGGUGGUGCCAUUGGUAGCAUCAUUUUACAGAUUAGGACUAGGAUUUAGAAGAUUAAGUUUAUCUUCAGUCAUGUGGGUUGUAAAUGCCAAGCAGAUUAAAAUACAGAUCUGGCAACCUUAAAAUGAAUAUACUUAGAAACUAAGUGAGAUACCAAAUGAAUCUCUUUUGAAAAUAAACGAACAGUAACAAGGACACCUAAUGUGGGUGGUGCUUGUGCUGCAUUGUGGUCCCUCAUUUCAGCAAGGCGUGCUGGACAGCUCCCGGACCUCUGAUUUCGAUAUGCUAGUGCUGGACAGUUCCAGCCCCUGAUUUCAGCACUCAGGUUCUGGACAGCUCUCAGGCCUUGGUUUCAGCACGCCUGAGAGCUGGACAGCUCCCGGACCCCGUGAUUUCGACAUGCUAGUGCUGGACAGUGCCAGGCCCUGAUUUCAACACGCGGGGGCUGGACAACUCCCAGCCCCUGAUUUUCAGCGCAGAUGUGCUGAACAGCUUCUGGAACUCCGGUUUCAACAUAGAAGAGCAGGGCAGUUCCAGGACCCAUGAUUUCUGCGCUUGCAGGAAGGCCGCCCAGUCCUGUCAAGGGAGUCGCUCUGGCACAAACCAGUGUCUGCUCAGGGGUGCCCGUGUGAUCUGUAAGGGGUGGAGGAUUAACCCUCUCCCCAGUAAAGAGGGUCAGAAGUAGUGGCUAACAGGUCCUGCUACUUAGUGGGGAUAAUUCUCAUAGUCACUCUCCAUGGUUUCUCAUGGAGCUCCUGGGGGUGGAGCUAAGGUGUCCAGAACAGGAAACAAUUCAUGGAACAAUCCCUGACGGGUUUUUCUUUCUUUACUCAAUCGAUUUUUUACUUCCUCACUUCUACUUCCUCCAUCACCUCUUACAUAACUAAUUGUACUUAAGUUCUUAGUGUUUGCUAAAUUGGAAGGUCAGACUAAGACUGUGAUCUAACAGGAGAGGAAAAAUACUUUUACAUUUGAUGAAAUGUUUCAUAGAGUUCACUUGAAAGUAGAGACAUGAUGGGCAUUAAAAACAGCUGAAAUCAGAUGAUAUGCAUCUGUAUGUAGAUAUACACCUAGAUGUAAGCAUAGAUACAUAGAUAAAGACAGGAUGGUACAGAUUCACGUGGUCUAUUUUUCCUCAUUACGAAUUCCUAUGCUAUCUUUAUGUUAUCAUUUGAAUCUUAAGUGACCCCAAACACUCAUGUGUUAAAGGCUCAGUCCCCAGGGUGACACUAUGAGCAAGUGGUAGAAGUUUUAAGCCGCCAGGGGUGGUCCUUAGUUCCCUGGCUGUGCUAUUAAAAGAGAGCAUGCUACCAUCCCUCCUGCUCUGUCCUCACCCUCUUUCCCUUCCUGCCAGGUGGUGAACGCUAUUCUUUGUCAGUCUGCACUGCUGCAUGCUGCUGCCUCAUCACAGCUCUGCGCAAAUGGACUGACCAAGCAUGGACCACAUCCUCCAAAAUAUGGGGCAUACAAAUAACUCUUCUUUAAAAAUAUUAGAAACAAUGUUACAGAAAUAUAUAUGGGCUGCAUAAGACCCCAGAGGCAAUGAACCUGUGGGUUUGUGAGGUCAUUUCCUCAGCAUGGCUUAUGACAUAAAGAUACUAAAAAGUCUUCCUUAUGGUUUCUCUUAUGAGGCAGAACUUGUGGUGCCCACUGCUCUGGUUGAUGUCGGGCUGAUGACACUUAGCACGAUGACUUCCAGCUCCGUCUACUUUCCUGCAGAACACGUGACUAUUGUGACUAAUAGUCCACUGUGUACAUCUAUGUCUUAUCCUGCCUACUUUACAUAUUUAUAUUCAUUUUGAACAUAAGGAGAACAGGGAUGUCCCAGUAUGCAUUUGUUAAAAACUCUUAGAGAUAUUGAAAGAAACAUGAUCACAAUGAAGAAAAUUAGUCAACAUUAAUGAAAUGUGAGCAUAUGCUGAGUAUUUAGUAUGCAUUAUUAUUUAAUUUAUUUUCUCAUUAUAAAAGCUGAGUUUGGAGAACCCACAUGUGGUUAGCAGAUUGCUGAUGAUUGAGGGUUGGAUUCUAAUCCUGAGCUUUUAAACUUCAAAACACACCCUUAUGGCAAAUGUGAAGGUGAGAGGGGAAAGUUCUUAGCAAUAAAAUGAAUGGUUUUGUAGAUGA